GCCACCGGGCUGGCCCCUGUAGUUGCUUGAUUUUUUUAAAAAAAGAAUGGCACUAUCUUAGCCUAAAAUUUAGCCUUUCAAAUUUAGCCAUGAUGUCACCUUCUUUGGGGUCAGUGAAACAAAUGGAUUGAAAAUACUCUGAACAGCAACAUCCACAUUCAGACUAUCAAGCAGCACAUCAGAGAAAAGAAAAAAAUUGCUUGUUCAAUCACUUGGAGAGAUGUUAUAACGAGAAUAAUCCUUUGCACAGGCAGAAUAAUGCUCCAGAGAAAGGAUGCAGCCAAAGGCAUUUCUUUUUUGGACAUCCAACUGGCAGGGUCCAUCUUUCUGCACACAACCGUGCACAAAAUCAUAAACUUGCUUCCAGAUUCUUGAAGCUGGGAGUAAUCAAGAACCCAUCAGGAUACCAAAAACAUCAAAGGUAUUUCAGUUAAAUGACAAUGAGAAAAAAAGUAUUAAAACUAAAGGAAAAGACAAUUUACAAAGCAAUUUAGUUCUAAGUGUUGGGACUCAGAAUUUGUUUUGAUGGAAAUCAUUCAAACUAAUGUCACAUAGAAAUUCCAAUCCUGAAAAUUCCUAGAAUGUGUGGGGUGUUAAGUAGGAGUGAAACUUCUCAUCAGCAAAAUGUCCCCUGCUAAAAAUAGUAUAUCAGAGAAUGUGAGGCUGGAGCUUAACUAAUUGAUUACCCUUUAGAUACCUCAAACCAACUCCUGAGAUAAAUCACACUCAAAUACUGGAAGUUUUAUUACAGCCAGAGAGUUGGAGCUGCUAGCAUUUGGAGGCCCGCUUCAGAGGAGCCCAGAAAACGCUUAUGUUGCACUCUGAGGGCACAGGCCCAGUCUAUAACUUACUCCUGCCUUUCAUUUUCCUGUUAAAACAACCUGCCAAUAGAGAUAAGAAUGAGAUGGAAAUCAAUAACGCAUGCUGGAGAUCUGCAGCAUAGUCAAAACAUCAUAUAGACUGGGGCAGGAUCAGAAAGUAGGUCACUGAAUUGGAAACCCCUUAACUGGCAUUUGAUGAAAUAUUAGUACAAUAAACCUCUCAACUAAGUUCUUUUGACUCAACGUCAAUGGUUUGAAUGCUGACAGUGCCUUUACCUUCAUAAGGUAACCGAGAAACUCACUUUCUGGAAACAGCAACAACAACAAAAACACCUAUGUACCCAGGCUUGUGAAAUUUUAAGUCUUCUCUGUUUUUCCUGCUUUCUUAUUUUAUCCUCUAUGUUAAAUUUAGGGAGGCAUAUCUAUGUUUCUAUCUGUUGUUUAAUGACAUAUUACAUUAUAUUAUAAAAUGAGGGAUGUAAUGAUAUCUAACUCAGAGGGUUAUUAUGAGGAUUUAAGAAAAAUAUAUAUUUGUGCCAUCAUGUAAGUACCUAGCAUAUAGUAAUUUCAUCAUUUAAAAAAUGUUAAAGAUUAUCAUGAUGGGUAUAUCAUAUUAUAUAAUAUGAGUACUCAACAAGUCAAUUUGAUUUUUCUAUGGAACAAAUUCUGUUCUACAAGAAAAUAGUGGUCUACAGUACACUUCUGUUAUUAUAACACAAAAUGCUUAUAAUUUGUAUAUGUCCCCUUGAAGCCCCUCUCUAGGGUUCUACCCUAGUAAGGAUGCUCUGGAGAAAACCUCAAAUUAAUAUCAAAGAAACAGGAGCUUUACUUCAUUGUGAAGAUACCUAUUCAGAGAAUAUUUCUUUGAUCAACUAUUGCUUUCCUCACUUAUUUCUAAGCCCUUGAAAGCACAUUAUUAUUCAUUUCUUGGAACCUCUGUCUAGAAGAGCUUUGCUUGACACUGUUAUAGGCAAAGAAGCAGAGAGCUUAGCAACUUCCAGGCAAAGAUCCACUGUGAACAAAUGCUUUUUGGCAUAUAAAAUGUCUGAGAGGCGACAGCCAGAAGUUUAAUGUUUAGAAUGAAAAAGUAGGGGUCCUAAAAUGAGCCAAGUGUGGAACAUGCAAAAUGUUGCUCAGAUUUAAUAAUUAACUAGAAAUGGUUUUACCUAAAAUUAGUAAAACUUCAGAAAAGAGAAAAUAUGGUGAACCACAAUUUAUAAUGCCAUUCCUGGCACCUCUCAAUUUAUCUGAAUAGUAAAAUUUAGAGCGCAGCAGAAGAAAAACCAUGAGGAUUAAAAAAUGCUGAAACCCUGUAAAAGACUAUCCUAUGGCUCAAGAAAUAUUCCCUCUCUCCCAGCGUCCCCAGCACCUCGUGGGAGGAGCCUAUUUCCCCUUGCUGUUGAGGUCGGGCUUGGACAUGUGACUUGCUAUAGCCAAUGGGACGUCAGAGAACGUUAGGCAAGCAGAGAAUCAUGAAACGUGCUUGUGCGGUUGGGUUUGACCUUCGCACCCCUUCCUUUCUCUGUGAGAAUAACACCCAUCAUGGAGGAUGAGAAACAAGUAGAGCAGAACUGGACCCACCUCACAGCCCUGAGCCAGGCACAGCCUAGAUCAGCUGACCUCCAGUCAACUGCGGAAAGAAUCAAAAGGCAAAUGUUGAAUGUUCUUGCUUCCCAGAAGGAAAAAGAGACCAUGCCACAAGUCACUCACAGCUAAACUGGCCAAGGAUAAUUCAGACCUAUUUAGGAAAUAAGUAAUACAAAGAGCUGAAGAUUGAAUAAGACCUGCCCUCAAGGAGCUCGUGAGUAGAAUGAGGCAGACGUGCAAAUAACAGUAGUCUCUUUUGUGAAGCAAAUUCAAGGGACCAUGGAGGUCCAGGUAGGUCUUCUCAAUUCACCUCUGCUGGCUUUAAAAUUCUUAUCCACUUUCUUUUCUAUUUUAGCAUCAGGCUUUAUGUCAGCCUUAGUGUUUGACACUGUUACAAGUUUUCAUCUACGUCUGCACCUUAUUGACAGGUAACAAGAAGUUGAGAACAGCUACGUUCAAAUGCCACUUUGAGGAAAAACUCUGGACUAUUUGUCAACAAACUUGUUUGUUUGUUUGUUUGUGAAACAUUUGCAAGCAUUUACUGUGCACCAAAGAUUAUUCCAAAUACUUCACAAAUAAUACCUCAUUUAAUCCUCACAGUCAUCCCAUGACGAUGACUCCAAUCCUUUCCCUAUGCACACAGACAAAGCUGGAGUCAACCCAUAUAAAUAAUUUUGCAUUCUGUUUUGAUCAGAUUCAUGUUGUGAACAUGUUCCCCAGUUUUAAAAAUAUUUUUCAAACAUCUAAUUUUAAUGGGUAAUUAUAUUGUAUCAAAUAAAUGGAGCACAACUUAUUUUGAAGAAUAUUGUUUCAUAAAAACCUUUGCGUUUCUUAUUUAUCCAUAGACUGGGUUUUUACAAAAGAAAUCGUCCAGUGAAAAGGAUGAACUUGAAACAAUAUGUACUCACUUUAGAAGUAGAUAAAAACGUCUUCCCCAGCCUUUAAUAUUGUUCCUCAGCUCCCUAUAAAUAGAAUGCAUGAAAAGGAACCUUCUGUUUGUGGGAGUGAGAGGGGUGUGUGUGACAGUAAAGAAAGAACUAUGGGGAGGGGGCAAAAAGAUAUACAUGUCCUUAAUAAGAAGAUAAGAAGUCCAGAGAUGACACAAGUUGCUAUAGCAACUGAUAUGUGCUAUCAGGGGUUAAGUAAGAGAUAGAAAAACUGUAGCUGAUAAAUAAUUUUUUAAGAACUUCUGCUUAAAUUAUUUAGGCGAGACAUUAUAUAACCUUGUGCAGUUAAAUACCAGAAAUUGUGAAAAACAGUUCACAGCAAAAUUUGGCACCAGUAUCUCUCCUUUACAAUGAAGCAGAGAAAAAUGUAGAAUCUUAUAUUAAAAUCAGUGGCAGAAUUCUUUUUAUCACUCAUCAUCUAUCCACUUGCUUAACAAACAUUGUUUUGCUGCCUACCAUUUACUAGAAUGCUGGAGAUAAAGAAUGAAUGAGAUAAAGUCCUCGCUCCCAAGAGUUUACCGUAAAGUAGGGAAAACAAAUGUACAAAUAAAUAAUUACACUAACGGAUGAUAAGCACCAUUCCAGAGAUCUCGACAAAUCCAUAAGGUGGGAAGUAACUAGCUCUGCCUAGGGAGUCAGAGUAGGUUUGACUCCAGAGAUGGCAUUUGAGCUGGGUCUUGAAGGAUGAAUAGGAGUCUUCUGUGCAGAGAAGGAGAGGAAAAAUUUCCCAGAGAGAACAAAGAGCAUGGACUCUGUCCCAUAGGUCAGAGUAUACCAGUGGCUAUGCCUUGCAUGGGUAACAAGUGUGUACCAAAAUACUGAUUCACUCUACUCACAGGAUGGCCAGGUGGGACCUUGGAAGCUAGCAUCCCUGGGUUAAACCCCUCCGCCCCUGAACAGCCUCAUCUCCCUUAUUCCCAGGGGUAUGAGAAUCACGUGGGGAUCUUCUACAAGGAAGACAUGUCCGGCCAGGACUGGACUGAGUGUAUGCAUUAAUGUUCCGCCAAACCUAUAUUCUGUAAAUCUGCUCAGCAUUUAUUUAGUCUAAGUGGAAAGAAUCUGAUUUCCUAUUAGAAAAGCUUGCUUCCUACUUCAUGUUUAUAACUCAAAUAUUGGCUGUCCCCUUUGUCAUCUUCUUUGAGAUUCCACUCCAAAAAAUAAAACAAAGCUUAAACAUGCAAAGCCUUAGUAAACACUGUAGAAUUUACUGCAGAUUUCAUUGAGGAGAUGGAAGAGAAGGCUUACACUGCAUAGCAGACAACAUGUUGGUGGGGAAAAAAGAAAACCAACUCAUUAAAUGAAUCUUUUCUCCCAAACUCUCUUCUCAGCCUCACAGCUAAAACUUUUCUUCAUGACCCAACCCCCUUAUCCUGAAACCACUGCUCUGUGCCAUCUGUGAAUGCACUACAGACGGUACUAGUUUAACCUCUCAUGCUUAAUGCCCGCAGUGUGCUAAGAUGACUGGUGAAUGUCACAUCCAGAUCCCUGAAUCAUUCUUAAAGACCCUGCCUCGAGCCUUCUCCCUCGUGAGUUCACAAGAAAUAGAGACCUGGAACUCAGCUGCUCAACGUGUGAAUUUUCACCACUGGUGAGGUUUUAGGUUUGCAAUAGUUUUAAAAUAAAAAUGCUCCCUGAAUAUGUGACACAUUUAGUGGAUGCCAGUAGUCACUCACAUCUUAACUCGAGGUCAUUUAAUUAGGUGCUCUUCUCCUAACACCUAGUUGGAAUCCUUGCUCUGAGGGGACAAGAGUUUCAGUGACAGGUGAGGGUGUGUGAACAAAGGGUUGAGAGUUGACGAUGCUGACGGCCCUGGUGAGGCCAACCCGGGAUGCUGCACGGCAGGGCAACAGCGAAGAGGGAGAACCCGGAAUUUGGAAGAGGGGCCCAGAAAGGGGAAACAGAUCACCAAGCACAAGCCUUGUCUGCUUCACCACUUGGCCCAGGAUCAGCUCUGGGACAGCUUUUAUUCUGUCAACAGUGUUCCUCUUAAAUCUUCAUGAGAACCACAAGCUGAAACCCGAAUAAAUCCUUCUGCAACAGUGUGUGACAGUCAGAAAGAACAGGCCAGUGCUCCACCCACACUGUCAUGGA